ensembl:lncRNA
GAGCUGACAAAGGAAACAGGAAGUGAAAGAGGCAGAGAAUAGAGAGUCCUGAGCACACACGGUUUGCUAUUGGAAAAAGACUCACUCUGGUCCCCACUGCACUCAGAAGAGCCCCGGACCGUUUAUUACACUUUAAUCUACGGCAGACCCGUCAAUGUUUCCUGGGUACCGUUGCAGCGGAUACGAGGCGGGAUGCCAGUUGAAGUUAUGAUUGUGACUGUGCAGUACGACUCAGAGGGAGAGCCAUGCAGUUAUUGAGUCUCAUAGACGUACAGUAUGCAUGCACUGUUACAGGUGUAGACGGAGGAUGUCAUCCCAUACAGACGGCUGCACUCUAAUCUAGUGUGUGGUUUAUAUCCUUUAUAUACACAAUUUCACAAGACAGUAUUUGUUAUUUUGAAGAACCGAUCAGAAUGUAUAGUUCAUUCGCUGGGGAGAGAGUUGUGUCAAUUUAAUCUAGAGAAAUCACGGCUACACAAUUAAAAACAGUCAAUUUUCUUCUAUGCCGCUGCUCCUUAGAGGGUCGCGGGGGCGGCUGGAGUCAAUCCCAGCUAACAAUUAACAACACGUUAAUGAUAUGUUCUGAUCGGCAUUGUCAUCGAUCAGUUCAUAAAAUCAGAUAAAAGCAGUUGCUAACAAAUGCAUUUUGUAUCGCAUUAUUAGUGACUAUUUUUGAGUCUUAUUCAGGAACAAAUGGG